rnacentral:lncRNA from 1 species
ACUGUCCUAAGCGUUGGGGUAGAGAAGGGAUCACCAGGCCGGACGCCUUUCUUGUCCCACUUGGGGCUUUCCUCUCUGAGUAAUAAUAAUAAUAAUAAUAAUACAUAUGAUAUUUAAGCACUGUUCUAAGCGCCGGGGUAGAUACAGGGUAAUCAGGUUGUCCCACGUGGGGCUCACAUUUUUUAAUCCCCAUUUUUGCAGAUGAGAUAACUGAGGCCCAGAGAAGAGAAGUGACUUGCCCAGGGUCACACAGCAGACAAGUGGGGCUCACAUUUUUUAAUCCCCAUUUUUGCAGAGGAGGUAACUGAGGCCCAGAGGAAGGGAAGUGACUUGCCCAGGGUCACACAGCCGACAAGUGGGGCUCACAUUUUUUAAUCCCCAUUUUUGCAGAGGAGAUAACUGAGGCCCAGAGGAAGGGAAGUGACUUGCCCAGGGUCACACAGCAGACAAGUGGGGCUCACAUUUUUUAAUCCCCAUUUUUGCAGAGGAGAUAACUGAGGCCCAGAGGAAGGGAAGUGACUUGCCCAGGGUCACACAGCAGACAAGUGGCGGAGCCGGGAUUAGAACCCACGCCCUCUGCCUCCCAAGCCCAGACUCUUUCCACUAAGCCACGCUGCUUCUCUAUAGAAGGAGUAGGAGGGAGGAGGAUUGAAUCCCCAUUUUCCAGUUGAUGAGGCUGAUAAGGAUGAUGAUCGCGAUGAUCCCAGGCGAGAGGCAGGGAUUUCUUUCCCUGUAGAUCUGCCAUGGGAAACUUUUGCAGACUCUCUUGAGUAGCCGAGGGGGAGAGGGGGACAAGUGCGGAAUUCCCCAGGGAACACCGGUUGAGGCUGGAGCUUCCAAUCCUGAGAUUUUCCUGAGCAAUUCCAACCGAAUCGGGAGAAAUGGAAUCCCAAAGGAUCCAGUCUCUCCAAUAAUGACAAAUGAUUUUGUUUGGGACAGCGAUUCUGAGAAAGACUAGAUUUCUACGUCUACUACAUUAAUCGAGGACUCAAAUGAUCCGUAGCCCCAUUCACUGAAACAAAGCUAUAGAGCCUGAAAAACCGCUGUGGUCCCGGAAGCAGUAAUGUCUGAAUGGAGGUGAAAAGGUCAGACGAGGGCAGGAUCCAAAGUGAUUUUAAGUAGUUCAGCUAAGUACUAAGGGCUAAUGGGAAACCAUUUUAAUUUACUGUAGUCAUCCCCAGUGAAUAAAGAAGACAGUAUUUCUUUAGAGCAACUUGAUUAUGAAGCAGUAAACCCCUUUUG